rnacentral:rRNA from 1 species
GUCAGAGUUUGAUCCUGGCUCAGGAUGAACGCUAGCGGCAGGCCUAAUACAUGCAAGUCGAACGGUGUCUUCGGACAUAGUGGCGCACGGGUGCGUAACACGUAUGUAACCUACCUUACAUUGGGGGAUAGCCUUUGGAAACGGAGAUUAAUACCGCAUAAUACGAUUGACUGGCAUCGGUUGAUUGUUAAAGCUUUGGCGAUAAUAGAUGGGCAUGCGUCCAAUUAGUUAGUUGGUUAGGUAACGGCUGACCAAGACGAUGAUUGGUAGGGGAUCUGAGAGGAUAAUCCCCCACACUGGCACUGAGAUACGGGGCCAGACUCCUACGGGAGCAGCAGUAGGGAAUAUUGGUCAAUGGGCGCAAGCCUGAACCAGCCAUGCCCGCGUGCAGGAAGACGGUCCUAUGGAUUGUAAA